rnacentral:rRNA from 1 species
UCGGCAACGGAUAUCUCGCUCUCGCAUCGAUGAAGAACGUAGCGAAAUGCGAUACUUGGUGUGAAUUGCAGAAUCCCGUGAACCAUCGAGUUUUUGAACGMAAGUUGCGCCCGAAGCCAUUAGGCCGAGGGCACGCCUGCCUGGGCGUCACGCGC